rnacentral:rRNA from 1 species
AAUCCCUUAAUGAGGAUCAAUUGGAGGGCAAGUCUGGUGCCAGCAGCCCGGUAAUCCCAGCUCCAAUAGCGUAUAUUAAAGUUGUUGCAGUUAAAAAGCUCGUAGUUGGAUUUCUGGUGGGAGCGACCGUGCCGAACUUGAUUGUUCGUGUAUUGUGUUGUCUUCAGCCAUCCUCGUGGAGAACUUUUCUAACAUUAACUUGUUGGGAUUGGGACCCGCGUCGUUUACUGUGAAAAAAUUAGAGUGUUUAAGCAGGCAUUAGCUUGAAUACAUUAGCAUGGAAUAAUAAGAUAGGACUUUGGUACUAUUUUGUUGGUUUGCAUACCAAAUUAAUGAUCAACAGGAACAGUUUGAGGAUAUUCGUAUGAACAUGUCAGAGGUGAAAUUCUUGGAUUUUGAUCAGACGAACUACUGCGAAAGCAUUUAUCAAGGAUGUUUUCAUUAAUCAAGAACGAAAGUUAGGGGAUCGAAGAUGAUUAGAUACCAUCGUAGUCUUAACCAUAAACUAUGCCGACUAGGGAUUGGCGGACGUUGUCUAUAUGACUUCGCCAGCACCUCAUGAGAAAUCAAAGUCUUUGGGUUCCGGGGGGAGUAUGGUCGCAAGGCUGAAACUUAAAGGAAUUGACGGAAGGGCACCACCAGGAGUGGAGCCUGCGGCUUAAUUUGACACAACACGGGAAAACUUACCAGGUCCAGACAUAGUAAGGAUUGACAGAUUGAGAGCUCUUUCUUGAUUCUAUGGGUGGUGGUGCGUGGCCGUUCUUAGUUGGUGGAGUGAUUUGUCUGGUUAAUUCCGUUAACGAACGAGACCUCAGCCUGCUAAAUAGUGUGCAUAUUCGAAAGAAUGUGUUCGACUUCUUAGAGGGACAUUUCGGUUUUACCGGAAGGAAGUUUGAGGCAAUAACAGGUCUGUGAUGCCCUUAGAUGUUCUGGGCCGCACGCGCGCUACAAUGAUGAAUUCAACGAGUUUAUAACCUUGGUUGAAAAGCCUGGGUAAUCUUUUGAACUUUCGUCGUGAUGGGGCUAGACCCUUGCAAUUAUUGGUCUCCAACGAGGAAUUCCUAGUAAACGCAAGUCAUCAGCUUGCAUUGAUUACGUCCCUGCCCUUUGUACACACCGCCCGUCGCACCUACCGAUUGAAUGGUCCGGUGAAAUCUUCGGACCGUGACUUUGAUUUGUUUACUCAAAACGCUGUUACGGGAAGUUGAUUAAACCUUACCAUUUAGAGGAAGGUGAAGUCGUAACAAGGUU